rnacentral:lncRNA from 1 species
GACUGGCCACCUCUCUGGGCCCUCAGGGAUGCUGCUGUCCGGACCCCUGACCAGUGACGAGUUUGCACUCAGGGCCAGGCUGGCGCUGGAGGAGAACACUUGUUUGGCUCCAACCCUAGGAAGAAGAGGGAUCCAGCAGUGAGAUCAGGCAGGUUCUGUGUUGCACAGACAGGGAAACAGGCUCUGUCCACACAAAGUCGGUGGGGCCAGGAUGAGGCCCAGUCUGUUCACAUAUGGCUGCUGCCUCUCAGCUCUGCACAGACGUCCUCGCUCCCCUGGGAUGGCAGCUUGGCCUGCUGGUCUUGGGGUUGAGCCAGCGUCCAGCACUGCCUCUCUGCCCUGCUGCCUCCCACUCUGCAGUGCUCCAUGGCUGCUCAGUCGGACCCAUGCUGGAGAUGUUCCAGUUGAAGCCCCAGGCUGUCCUUACCUCCCAGUCUGGGGUGCAGUCCCCCUUACUGUGUCUGCCAAGGGUGCCAGCACAGCCGCCCCACUCCAGGGGAAGAGGAGUGCCAGCCCUUACCCACCUGAGUGGGCACGUGUAGCAUUUAUUCAUUAG